AUCCAGCUAUCUGCUGUUUCUGCUUAAUUUUAAGGCAAAUGUUAGGGGCAGAUUUUAGUGUAUCGAGAGAAGUGGAUGGAUGUUUCUCAGUGCCCAGCCAAUCCUCAGCUAACCCUGUUUGUCUUGGUGGAACUCCAGUGAGGGAUCAGAUCACAAGAGCAGGUGUUCUUCUCUGGCAACACACGGGAGGGCCCUUGUGUGUGUUCCUGGUUCUGGGCAGCUCUCUCUGCUGAGCUGUGUGCAUGGAUGGGGCUGCCACACUCUUGUGAAAGAGGAGAUGUUUGAGAGGCCACUCCACCCUCUCCACCCUGAAGGUCAUAAAGGCCAAGGUCUCAGCAUGGUCACAGUGGGCCUGGCCUAAUGCAAGUUCUCCCUGGUCAGGAGCAGAUGAAACUCAUUUAACCUUAGGUGUGUCAUCUGUACAGGGGAAAGAUAUCAGCUUUGCUGGCAGGAGCUGGGGGACCUCUUGAGGGUCACUACCUCUACAUUGCCAGGAUGCUGAACACCCAUGGACUGCACUGACCAGAGACGUCAGACCCCAGAGUGUGGCAGCUGAACAACCUGUAGAUGCAAAGAAAGGUGCAGCUGUGGAGGUCUACCAGCCUUUGAGAGCUACCAAUGUGCCCUUGGAGACCCUGAACCAGAGGAAGGCUGAGAAGGUCCAGUCCUGGGAAGUCAGCCUCAGGAGGGCGCUGGGCUUCAAGAAGUGCCCCCAGUGAAGAGAGAAGCCAGAACAUGUUUGUUGGUUGUGGGGCCCUGGCUCCUUUCUGGCUGUUGAGACCUUGCUGCCUGUCACCCCAUAAAACAUGAUUCCCAAUCGAGA